UGCUAUGCUUGGGCCCAGGACUGGAAGUCUGAACCUGGGGUGGAGAAUGGGAGUAUCAGUUGACAGUGUGUGCUGUUGGCCAGGUUUAGGCACGAAGGGGGUAGUGCUCUCAUUGGAGAAUUUUAAAACAAGAAUAGGAUUGAUGAAGGCGGUUUGCUUUUUACUGUCAUCAUGCUCCAGCAAGUCUAAACAGUGUCAUUGGUAGAAUAUUCCUCUCUGCCUGGGGCAGACUGUCCCACAGUCCCCCGCCUUGGUAUGCCACUGGGGCAUAUAUUUGUCUUAGAGGUGUGUGUGUAUGCUGGGGAGUGAGGGAGGUUCCCCAUGAUGGCAGGUAGCAGGGCUGGCCAUUUCAUGGACAUCCUGCCCUCUGGGUCUGUUACAGUCCAACUUGGUGGCAAGGACAGAGGGCCUGGACCAGCAGGUGGACUGGAACUGGUAAGAAAAGAGCUUGGGUGCUCCAGAGAUAGCCCCACCAUAAAGACAGUGGGUUUCAGGGUCCCUGUCAAGGAAUGGAACGGCUCCUGACCCCAAAGUCCAGAUGUUUGGCUGGUCAGUCGGGUGCAAGUUUAUGCCCUUGGGAACAGAGUUUUGCCUCACUCUGUGAGGGCUGUAGGCCUAUGGUCGAAAGGGAAGGGGCUUCUGUCUCCUGGGGCUCACCUCUGUGCAGAGAAACCUCUUCCUACCCAGACCAUUCUAGGUAAAAGCCAAGCUAUAUUCUUCCUCCUCUAGCAGUCCUCUCUCCUACCUUUCCUCAGGUAUGAUGUUCUGUCCCCGGGGGAGAUGCAACGGCUCUCCUUUGCCCGACUCUUCUACCUGCAGCCGAAGUACGCAGUGCUUGAUGAAGCCACCAGUGCCCUGACAGAGGAAGUGGAGAGCGAGCUCUAUCGCAUCGGCCAGCAGCUGGGGAUGACGUUCAUCAGUGUGGGACAUCGGCAGAGCCUUGAGAAGGUACCCGUGCUCACAAGGAUGGCCUGAGGAGGAGAAAGAACCCAAAGGCUCAGCCUGGCCAGGGCCAGAGGCCCCUCAAAACGGGGAGUAGCAGUAGCAGAGAGAACCGAGUGGCCUCCUCUGCCAGCGGCCAGGGCAGCCUGAUCUCCAUGUGGUGGUGGUCUCUUGUAGUUUC
rnacentral:lncRNA from 10 species